GACGAACGCUGGCGGCGUGCUUAACACAUGCAAGUCGAACGGAAAGGCCCCUUUGGGGGUCCUCGAGUUGCGAACGGGUGAGUAACACGUGCGUAACCUGCCCUUGACUUCGGGAUAACUUCAGUAAACUCGGGCUAAUACCGGAUAGGAAUCCUUGCUGCAUGGUGGGUGUUGGAAAGCUUCGGCUGUUUUGGAUGGACUCGCGGCUUAUCAGCUUGUUGGUGGGGUAGUGGCUUACCAAGGCUUUGACGGGUAGCCGGCCUGAGAGGGCGACCGGCCACAGUGGGACUGAGAUACGGCCCAGACUCCUACGGGAGGCAGCAGUGGGGAAUAUUGCACAAGGGGCGGAAGCCUGAUGCAGCAACGCCGAGGGCGGGAUGACGGCCUUCGGGUUGUAAACCGCUUUCAGCAGGGGCGAGGCUGGUGGUGACGGUACCUGCAGAAGAAGCACCGGCUAACUACGUG
rnacentral:rRNA from 1 species